GGGGAAGUGGACCCGUAGAGAGAGAGAUGGCAUUAUGGAGGGGGGGGAAGGGGAAUGGACCCGUAGAGAGAGAGAUGGCAUUAUGGAGGGGGGGAAGGGGAAGUGGACCCGUAGAGAGAGGGAUGGCAUUAUGGAGGGGGGGUGAGGGAAGGGGAAGUGGACCCGUAGAGAGAGGAAUGGCAUUAUGGAGGGGGAGGGGGUGAGGGAAGGGAAGUGGACCUGUAGAGAGAGGGAUGGCAUUAUGUAUGGGGGGUGGUGAGGGAAGGGGAAGUGGACCCGUAGAGAGAGGUUACAGGUAGCUAAUUAUCACUGAGGUCAAGAGUAUGGUAGUAAGGUCUGGAGAGACAGAGAGAAGGCAUGGGAUUCACACACACACACACGUGUACGCACACACACACAUACACACAUCAUGGCAUCUCUUAUUUAUGAGUCGACAUUUAUGUUGCUAUGUUUAUUGUUUCUGUUUCAAGUAGCCCU
ensembl:lncRNA